UACGAAGGGGGCUAGCGUUGCUCGGAAUGACUGGGCGUAAAGGGCGCGUAGGCGGAACGCUUUGUCGGAUGUGAAAUUCCAGGGCUUAACCUUGGGGCUGCAUUCGAGACGGGUGUUCUAGAGUUUGGAAGAGGGUCGUGGAAUUCCCAGUGUAGAGGUGAAAUUCGUAGAUAUUGGGAAGAACACCGGUGGCGAAGGCGGCGACCUGGUCCUUGACUGACGCUGAGGCGCGAAAGCGUGGGGAGCAAACAGG
rnacentral:rRNA from 1 species